rnacentral:rRNA from 1 species
GAUGAACGCUGGCGGCGUGCCUAAUACAUGCAAGUCGAGCGAACAGACGAGGAGCUUGCUCCUCUGACGUUAGCGGCGGACGGGUGAGUAACACGUGGAUAACCUACCUAUAAGACUGGGAUAACUUCGGGAAACCGGAGCUAAUACCGGAUAAUAUAUUGAACCGCAUGGUUCAAUAGUGAAAGACGGUUUUGCUGUCACUUAUAGAUGGAUCCGCGCCGCAUUAGCUAGUUGGUAAGGUAACGGCUUACCAAGGCAACGAUGCGUAGCCGACCUGAGAGGGUGAUCGGCCACACUGGAACUGAGACACGGUCCAGACUCCUACGGGAGGCAGCAGUAGGGAAUCUUCCGCAAUGGGCGAAAGCCUGACGGAGCAACGCCGCGUGAGGGAUGAAGGUCUUCGGAUCGUAAAACGCUGUUAUUAGGGAAGAACAAAUGUGUAAGUAACUAUGCACGUCUUGACGGUACCUAAUCAGAAAGCCACGGCUAACUACGUG